UGACACUCCAGGCCAUGAACCCGUGUUUUUAGCGGAGCUGAAAUCACUCAGUAAAGGGCUGCCCCCUUGUUUCGGCCCUGCCAUGUUGCCCUAGCUGCCUCUGCCAGGGAAGAAGGAAUGCCGCUCCGCUUGGUGAGUGAGCAGGGGAGGGUGGGGGAGAGAGUGA
rnacentral:lncRNA from 11 species